CACGAACCCGACAAACGUUAUUCGGAAUUAUUGGGCUUAAAGGGUGCGUAGGCGGUGCGGUAAGUGCGGUGUGAAAGCCCUCGGCUCAACCGAGGAAUUGCGCUGCAUACUGCCGUGCUGGAGGGAGACAGGGGUAAGCGGAACUGAUGGUGGAGCGGUGAAAUGCGUUGAUAUCAUCAGGAACACCGGUGGCGAAAGCG
rnacentral:rRNA from 1 species